GUAUUUAGAUGUUUGAAACGUACACUGUUAACAAUUGAUGUAAUUUUUACAAUAAAUUUUACAACAACGUAUUGUAUUCAUGUUUUUGCUGUAAAUACAAAAGCAUGAUGGGAAAUUUACGAGCAGUCCUGUAAUAUUAUUGUAACUACACUGUAGAAGCAUUAUUGUACAGCAACCGCGUAGUAUUCUGGGAUCGUGGCUGUUUGAAUUUUGAAAUUACGCGGCCAACGGUAACAGAACAUUUUUGAAAGAAGGAACACGUCUCAGGUUUGUAACAUAAAAUCUGUUUUAUAAGUCUACAGAUAUAUUGAUAUAGGUGAUCUGAGUGAGUGCUGAUUGUUUCGUUUGGUAUAUUUUGGUUUUAUAUUUUCAGACUGUGAUUGGCUACAAUGAUCAGCGCUUCACGUUUCUCACCGAGACGUCGUGAAUGGUCAACACCGAAGAAAAAUACAAUCUGAGCGGCAGCAGCUGUAACGCGGCGCUGGAUCACCUGCACACAGGAUAAAUUAGCUGAAUUAUUUCAGCGAUUGAUUUGCUGUCGAUUUAAUCGAACGCCAUCUCCUCGACUCACCACUGAUCGCUUGGAACCUCGACGGAGGUGAUACGGAAAAACUUGGGAGAGCCACUAAGCGCAGACAAGUGGAUGAUGUCCAUUGAAGGAACGAUUGUGAUGGGGCCCCACAACAAUCUUUUGAAUGGAGUGGCAGCGACCUUUUCUGCUUACUAUGUGUUCAACUUGCAGUAUCCUAAAGAAGCCUCCAGCACUCUUGAAUUUGUCCAAAGAGCUUUUUGCAGAAUCAACUCCCAGACGGGCAGCAAAGCAGAGAAGAGACACAAGCUCAAUGCACUUGUCUGCACCCUCUUAAGAAAACUCCUGGACUUUGAGUUGAUGGGCUAGUAUUGAUGCCCCCCACCCCCCAUAGCUGGCAGGGCGCCUUUGUUGUAUAUCACCAUGUUCCCUCUGAUGAUAGGCUGUUUGGACGUCUGGAAGUGAGCUAGAUUCUUCAGUGAAACUGUGAUUUGUUUAUAUGAAAAUGAAAUGUGGAUACUUUGUUUGGAAAAAAGUUUUAAUUCUGUAAUAUGUGCUGUUGCGUAUUAUUUUAAUAAAAAUAGAGAAGUUGAAGUUGUUUUUGUUUUAAUUGUGAAGUGAUUACAGCUUUUAUUGUAACAUUAAUAAAUAACAGAAUAUACAGUGUAUACAAUUACAAUAUUUAAUUGUAAUUCUCUCCUGUGAAAUUACAGGAAAUUCCUGGCAACUGAGUUGCAGUAAAUUAUAAGAAAUUACAGCAUUUUACUGUAAUAAUUCACUAUAAUCACAGUAACACUGCUGUAUAAAUACAGUACUUUAUUGUAAUAAAAACACAGUACAUAACCUGUAUAUUUCUUGCGGUAAAUUCACGGCAAUUAGUUGCCAGGAAUUUCCUGUAAAUUUACAAUAAAUUUUUAACAGUGUAU